rnacentral:lncRNA from 1 species
UCUGGAAGCACGGAGCCUUCCGUGCUUCCGGGUCGUUUUCGAUGUUGCGACUUUCAAAUCGUCAAUCAGCUCCAUUAAACUUGAUCUAGAGUAUUUGAAGUAUCUAGAAAAUAAAUUUUGCAAUUUUUCAAUAUAAUUUGCCUAGUGAUCGAAGGGACUCAAAAUCAAUAAUUUUAAUGGCUGUGGUGAGCCGUUUGCAAGUUUAACGGUGUAGAAAUAUCCAAAUCAUAUAAAAUUUUGAUAGAAAAUUCUUUAUACUGUAUAAAACAAGAUCAAUAUCUUUGAUCUCAAAUUUUAAUGUCAUAUUAUCACGUUUUGUAAGAUUUUUAUUUUCAGCCGUUGAUUUUGAACCCCUUAGUUCACUAGGCAAAUGAUAUCGAAAAAUUGCAAAAUUUAUUUUCUAGGUACUUCAAAUAUUCUAGAUCAAGUUUAACGGAGCCGAUCGACGAUUCGAAAGUCGCAAUAUCAAAAACUAGCUGGAAGCACGGAAGGCUCCGUGCUUCCAGAAGCAUUGUAGCCUCACUCUAUAUAUAUAUAUAUAUAUAUAUAUAUAUAUAUAUAUAGAGAGAGAGAGAGAGAGAGAGAGAGAGAGAGAGAGAGAGAGAGAGAGAGAGUUAGUGAGUGAGUUGAGCUGGAAUACUAUCGGUACCAAACGGACUCCGUUGCCACCAUUUGUUUUCGAUGAUGGAACCUUCAAAUCAACGAUCGGCACCGUUGAACAUGAUCUAUACCACUUGAAACAUCUAGGAACCAAAUUUCGCAAAGGCAUGUAUAUAGAGUUAGGUUGGUAUACUAUCGGUAGCACGGAGGCCUCCGUGCUACCAAAUUAUUUUCAAUGAUGCGGCUUCCAAAUCGACGAUCGGCUCCGCUAGACUUGAUCUACACUAUUAAAAGUAUUUGGAAACUAAAUUUCAUAAUUUUUCGACAUCAUUUGGCUUAUGAUCAAAAAGUUUCAAAAGUGAUAAUUUUAAUGAUAGAUGUGAUGCGUUUGUGAAUUUAACGGUGUAAAACAAUCCAAAUCUAAGAAACUUUUUAUAAAAAAUUCUUUUCACUAUUUAGAGGAAGAUCAGUACCUCUGAUCUUAAAUUCAAGUUUUUUAUUAUCAUUUUUUUAUGAGAUUUUUAUUUUUAGCCGUUCAUUUUUAGACUACUCGUUUGAUAGGUAAAUGAUAUCGAAAAAUUAUGAAAUUUAGUUUUCAAAUAAUUUUAUUAUUGUAGAUCAAGUUUAAUGGAGCGGAUCGUCGAUUUGGAACCCGCAUCAUUGAAAACAACUUGGUAGCAUGGAGGCCUCCGUACUACCGAUAGUAUANUCUCUCUCUCUCUCUCUCUCUCUCUCUCUCUCUAUAUAUAUAUAUAUAUAUAUAUAUAUAUAUAUUUGUAUAAAAUUUUAGAUAAUAUUUUAUAAAAAUUAAACUAUAGAUUGCAUCAUGAUAUUAAGAAUUUCACGCCACUCAUUUAGGACUCGAGUUCGUUCGACUCGAAAUUAGGCUUGUUCGAGCUCGGCUCGAAGUAAUUUCAAGUCAAGCUUGAGCCUAAAUUUAGAUUCGAAAUUAAUUUCAAGCCAAACUUAAACUGAGGUAAGCUCAUUCGAGCUCGGCUCGUUUUGACUCCUACAUGCAAUAGACAUGCCUUCGCGAUAAUUCGGACAAAAGUUUAAAAUCUUAUACCCAUAUAUGGUUUAACUAGUAAUUGCAUUAUGCCAAAUUAAGUUAAAAAAACCUCUUAUCAAAAUUAAAUGUGCUAUAGCUUACAACUUUAAUCCUAAUAAAUUUGCAGAGCACAAUUGGAGCACACCACCCUAAGUGAUGUAAAUAUUACAACAACUAUCAUUCAUUAGUGGCCCUGAUUUGUCUGUUGUUCAAGUACUAAAGAGAAAAUAAUAAUACACAAUAAAUAAAUGCAACUCUUACUCUCUCUUCUCUAAAAUGCAAAUCCUCUAUCAGCAUAUUGUAAGAUUUAUAUCAUCAUGUGUAAUGUAAAUAUAUGAAGUUUUUCAAAUUUAUACUUAUAUAUAUAUAUAUAUAUAUAUAUAUAUAUAUAUAUAGAUAGUGUGAAGCUACUACUAUCGGAUAAGCACGACCGUCCCUGUCUUCCAGCUCGUAUUUUGAUGUGCGACUUUCGAAUCAUCGAUGCGGCGUCUCGUUUAAACUGAUCGAGGAUAUUGAAGUACCUAGAAAAUAAAUUUUAUGAUUUUACGAUAUCAUUUGCCUAGUGAACGAAGGGGCUCAAAAUCAACGGCUGAAAAUAAAAAUAUUACAAAAUUUAAUAAUAUAACAUUAAAAUUUUAAAUUAAAGAUAUUGAUCUUGUUUUAUAUAGUAUAAAGAAUUUUUUAUCAAAAUUUCACAUGAUUUGGAUAUUUCUACACCGUUAAACUUGCAAACGGCUCACUACGGCCAUUGAAAUUUGUUGAUUUUGAGCCCAUUCGAUCACUAGGCAAAUAAUAUCGAAAAAUCAUAAAAAUUAUUUUCUAGAUACUCCAAAUACUCUAGAUAAAGUUUAACGGAGUUGAUCGACGAUUCGAAAGUCGCAACAUCGAAAACGAGCUGGAAACACGAAAAGCUCCGUACUUCUGAUAGCAUAAUAGCCUCACUCUCUCUCUCUCUAUAUAUAUAUA